UACGUAGGGGGCAAGCGUUGUCCGGAUUUAUUGGGCGUAAAGAGCGUGUAGGCGGCUUGGUAGGUCCGCUGUGAGAACUCGAGGCUCAACCUCGAGAUGUCGGCGGAAACCACUUGGCUAGAGUCCGGAAGAGGAGAGUGGAAUUCCUGGUGUAGCGGUGAAAUGCGCAGAUAUCAGGAAGAACACCUAUGGCGAAGGCAGCUCUCUGGGACGGUACUGACGCUGAGACGCGAAAGCGUGGGGAGCGAACAGG
rnacentral:rRNA from 1 species